GGGAGCCGCGAUCGGCCGAACCUGUGGACGCGGCAGGUAAACAAACUGGCCCGGCCCACCAAGGGCUUUCCCUGCACAAGCGACAGAACAAGUUUUGGGAACUGCUGUUCUAGACAAUAGCUAUCUUGUACUGCCCCGUUACAGUAGUACAUGAACACCUCAUAAUCUUUUAAUGUAUUUAUUCUUUCAACAUCUGGUGAGGGAGGGAAGUAAUACUGGCUUUUUUUUUUUUAAACUGACAGGAUGUUGAGGCACAGAGAGGCUAAGUGACUUGCUCAAGGUCGUACAGGAAUUCUGUCAGAGCAGGCAACUGAAGCUACAUGUCUCAAGUCCUAAGCUAGUGCCCUAACCGCUGUCCUUCUCUGUGUUAGCUAUUUCGGUAGAAAUAAACUGCAUUUACAUAAGGAAGAAAAACAACUGGAUAAAGCACAGAGGACAAAAUUAAAAACUAAACUGGCUCCUAUAAAAUUACUUUAAAGGUGAAUGAGAGUGUGUGGUUUUUUUUUUUUUUUUUUUUUUGCUUCUUUCCAAUAUAUUUUUAAAAAAGGGCCUGAAUGCAUUUUCUCAGAAGGCUGUUGGGAGUAAGGGGGUGGGGAGUUGUUUUUUUUUUUUUUAAUUGUGGAAGUGGUUUUUGCUUUUUUUUUUUUUUCUUUUCUCUUUCUUAGAAACAAUAAAUUGUCUCUCUAUUGGCAGAAUUCUUGGCUGCCUCAGAAAUGUGAGCUGGAAGGGUUCUCGUUCCAUAAUGGAGGAGCCAGCAGGCCAAAUCCUUAUCCAAGAAGUUUUCUCCAAUUCUUUAGUUAAAAGGGGUGUUGUUAAAAGAGAAAAAAAACCCAUAGUUUUAAGCAGUGACUAUAAACUGCUUCCUCUCUCAGGUUCCAAUUCUGAAAACACUUACAUUCUUAACUUCACUACUAUGUACUGUCCCAUUGAUUUCAGUGGAACUACUCACAAUAAUAAAGUUAAAUACAUGAACCAGCAGCAUCAAGGUCUCAAUUAGGUUUCGCUUCCUUGGUAUCUCUGAUGUCAUAAACUUACUAGUUCUCUGGUCACCCAAAAUACCUGGGUAGAUAAGACCUGAAUUUCAUUUAAAGGAAGUCGAAAGAAACAUGUCUUCUAGGCCAUCUUCAUACAUACUUAAUGAGCAGAAGACCCACAGAGAUCAUGGAGAUACUACAGACUGAGAUUUGUGGCCUUCCCACAGUGAUUAAUUGACCUAAUCUUACCCCCAGGUGCUGUCAAUAAGAAACUUGAGAGCAGAGAAAAAAGUGGGAUUUAGGGUUUGUUUUGUUUGGUUACAGUGUAAAAGAUGAGUCUAUAUAUGGUUUAUAGCAGAAAAUAGAAUCAAUAAUGAAAAGCAGCUAUGUAAAGACCAAGAUGUGUAAUUAGGGAGAAGAUACUUGAGAGACACAGUGUUAUAAAACAGUAAAGGACCUUGCAGUUGAAGUGAUGCAAGUAGGAGUAAGGAGAACAGAGGGGCAUGUAUGGCUGCAACAGAGAAAAUGAUUCAUUAGAGGCUGCUAUCCAGGGACAAGGAGAGAGGGAGGGGAAAUCCUGUCAAUGAGAAAUAUAAAGAAGAAAAAUCGCUGCUCAUGUAAUACCUGCAAAAAGAUAUUCUACCUGUGCUCCCCCUGCUGUGGAAAAUUAUUAAUGAACACCAUCUUGGGAUCUGUGACAGUUCUGGAAGCACUGAUUAGAACAAUAGAAGUUGUAAUUCCUAGAUCUGUCUGUUUGCCUAAUACAAUGAAAGAAAACAGAUUCUUGUGCCUCCUUGUAUACAAUCUCCUUGUUGUAAGUUUUUAUAAUAUGAACAUAGUACGCAUGGGUUUUCGCUUGUCCAUUAAAGGCUCGAUUUCAAGCC